UACGUAGGGUGCAAGCGUUGUCCGGAAUUAUUGGGCGUAAAGAGCUUGUAGGCGGUUCGUCACGUCGGCUGUGAAAUCCCGAGGCUCAACCUCGGGUCUGCAGUCGAUACGGGCGGACUUGAGUACUGCAGGGGAGACUGGAAUUCCUGGUGUAGCGGUGAAAUGCGCAGAUAUCAGGAGGAACACCGGUGGCGAAGGCGGGUCUCUGGGCAGUAACUGACGCUGAGGAGCGAAAGCGUGGGGAGCGAACAGG
rnacentral:rRNA from 1 species